rnacentral:lncRNA from 1 species
GAGAACCGAAAAGCAGUACACCAAAACAUCUCCAACAACAUCUUCCAAAUCGAUCAACCAUGAAGCCAACCCUAGUUCUUGCUCUCUCUUUCCUCCUUCCCCUCCUUGCUUUCUUCACCAACCUUCCCUUAGCUUUCUCAGAUGAUGUUGAACAAGUUGUGGACAUAUAUCAGAACCCCAUUUUCCCAGGUUUUUCAUACAACAUCGUCCCAGCAAUCCGUGGUCCACCUGGUGGUGGAUUGAAACUUGCCCAAACUGGAAACUCAGAGUGCCCUCUUACUGUUCUGCAAGAUUACUUAGAAGUCUUCCGUGGCCUCCCUGUGAAAUUCACCAUUCCCGGAAUCAGCCCUGGAAUCAUCUUCACAGGUACUAAUCAAUACUUAAUUGUCAUUAAUUAAAAAUAAAACCCAUUUUAUAAUAUAUAAUAUCGCCGAUUUUGUGAGAUUCAACUAGGCUUAAAGUUCACUUCUUAAUAUGGUAUCAUAGUUAUGAUUAGAGUUUAUCUUAACGAUAUUUAUUAUUUGUUGAACAUGUUGUUUCACCUGUUAUCGGGUCGUUAUUAGGUCACCCAUUAAUGUCUAGUCUCACACUCUAUUUAUACUUCGACGUAAGGAUUGUGUUAGAAGUGUCACAUCAAUUAAAGAUAAGAUAAAAACCAAUUUAUAAUAUAUACCUGAACGUAAACCCAAUCUUGUUUUAUAACAUUGAAAUAGGUUUAAAAUCGGUUUCUUUAACAAAUUUCGUAUAAAUUAUUUUCUCUUACUAAUUUCAAGUUUUGGAAACAUCCCUAUAGGUACCGAACUGGACAUCGAGUUCGUACAGAAGCCAUGGUGUGCAAAAUCCUCCAAGUGGUCUGUGUUCGUGGACGAAUCAAUCCAGAAGGCAUGUGUGGGAAUUGGUGGUGCCGAAGGCCAUCCAGGGCAAUCAACUUAUGGUGGCAAAUUUCACAUUGAGAAAUACAACUUUGGGUACAAGCUUGUGUUCUGCAUCACUGGCUCACAAACUUGCUUGGAUAUUGGGAGAUUUGAUGCCAAGAACGGCGAGGAAGGAAGACGCUUGAUUACCACUGAGCAUGAAGCAUUCGAUAUUGUGUUCGUACCAGCUUUUGAAGCUGAUAAGGUUAUUAAGUCCGUAGCUUGAAUCAAAUAUCUCUAAUUAAUAAGAUUUUAGUUAAUGCAAUCAUUUCUUUUGAUUUGCAUUACCUAAGAGAAUCUAUUCCAAAACUGAAUAAGAGAGUUAAUUGCUAACUUUCUUGCGUGAUAUCUUUCUCUCUUUCAUCUCUUUCAAACUUCAAUGAAAGACAUUAAAAAAAUUUAGGUUUAAUAUUAUGAGAAGCCCACACAAGUCCAUGCACUACAAAAAUUUACAAUUUUUUUAGGGUUAUUUUUUUAUUUCCGACGGUGUUAACUUCCAAAUAAUCAUUACCCGUGGUUUGAAAAACUAUUGAAAAAAACUGUUUCGCUAAAUAAUAAUCGACAACUUUUAAAAAAAUCGUCAGUAUUAGCGUGAGCUUGGAGAAAACCGUCAAUAUUAAUGGGGUUUUGGAAAAACCACCGGUAAUAAUGGUGAUUUCUCAAAACUCACUGAUAUUUGCAGAGGUUUCUCAAAAACUAUCUAUAUUUCCAGGAGUUUUGAAGAAACCGUCAAUAUAAUCAGAGAUUUCUAAAAAUCUGUCAAUAUUUACAAAAAUUAUAGAAAAACCGUCAGAAAUGUGUGCAGAAGUUUUUGAUUAUUGAUUAAAUGAAAUUAUGAUCAAAUUAUUUUAAUAACCACAGUGAAAUAAUAAGAACUAAAGCUGAAUAUUAUAUGUAAAAUAAAUUACAUUAUUCAAUAUAUUAAUAUAAUUCAUAUAUUUAAUUUUUUUUUCAUAAAUAAAAAUUAAAAAGAAAAAUAUUCAAUACUAAAUUAAAAUAUUAAAAAUAUGACCGAGAAAGAUGUUCAUUAAGAAUCUUGAUUUUGAUACAUAAAGUUCAUAAUAAUGAAUUCAGUUGCACAAAAUUUUUCAAAAUCCAUCUUUCUAUAUUGUAAUGAAUUCAACUGUCAUAAAAAAGAAAUAUAAAGAUGUAAGAUUGAAAUAAAUCAAAUUAAGUGAUAUAUCUAUAUACACAGAACAAAAUAGUUUUACUGAAAAAAGAAAGUCAGGGAUGCGAGACUCUUUCAUGGCAUAUGUUUUCUACCAAAAUAAUAGGUUUCUGGAAGCAUGUUGACACCAUUAUUAAAUUCAAUUCACAUAAAUAUAAUAAAAUUAGUUUCUUUGUCGUAAAUAGAAUUGAUAAUGAUAGAUAUAUCUUUUAUGGUUCAAAAAUCCUACUCCUAUUUGUUAAAUUCGAUUAAAUUUGUGCACUUGUCAAAAUAGAUUAAUAUUGAUUAAAUAAUUAUCAUAGUUAUCUAUUUACUUAAUUUAAAUUGUAGUUCGAGUUUGAAAACCAAAUAAAAAUUGAGUAUAUUUAUAAUUCAGUUAUAAUUCUAAUUAUUCAAAUAGUUAUUUCUAUUAUAUAUAAAAUAAAGUCCAACUUCAUACUAUUUGUUAUCUCUAGUUUAUCAAUACUAACAACUUUUAUAUAUAUUUAUAUAUAUAUAAACAUCAUCUGCAAAAUGUUUUCCUACUCUUCAUCCAAAUUCAUAAAAGUCACAAAAACAUGUAAAAAGGUUUUCAGUAACUCACUCACAUUCUCACCCUGUUCAAUUGAUUGAGUAAUCAAAUUAUGAUGGCAAUUCAAAUUUGGAAUUUAAAUAUUCUCCAAAUUAUAUCAUAAAUUUGUGUUCAAUUUUCAAGUCUAGCACAUGAACUCAAAACAUUCUAUGAAAAGAUAUAUAAAUUAGUCUUACGUCAUUUAAAAUUAGUCUAAAAAAGGGAGAUAGCUUGAGAGUUAUCACAAAUACAGUUUGGGUGGUAGAUCUUUCUUCACCACAUUCAUGUCGAUUCUUUGAACAAAGCCUUUUAACUCUUCAUAGAGGAUAUGAGACCUCUGGUUCAUAAUUUUCACAUCUGUCAUAGUUGAAUUGAUGUGUUGUCCAUUCUCUAUAGGGUUUUGGAAGCUGCAAAUUAAAACAUUUGGUUAGACACAUUCUUUAAUAUGAUUCAUCGCUAAACGAUACAUGCAUUAUCUAUAUAAAAAUUUGUCAAUAAAUAAGAUAUGUAUUACCUACAAAAAAAAUUUGUGAAUAAAGUGAUCGAUAAUGUAUAUUUCAUUUAUUAGUGAAAAAAUUUGUUUGUAAAUGAGAUAUACAUUACUUACAUAAAAAGUUCAUCAAUAAAUUCGUUGAUAAUGAAACGUGCAUUAUUUAUAGAAAAAUCCGUCGAUAAAUUAGAUAUGUAUUACUUCCGAAAAAAUCUAUUGAUAAAAUGGGUGAGAAUUUUGCCACAUAUAUUUUAUUUAUCGACAGAUUUUUUUCGUCUGUAAAUCAAAUAUACAUUGAAAAAUUCGUUCGGUAAAAUGAGUGAGAAUUUUUCUGGUCAUUUUUUCCUCUGCUAAUGAGAGAGAAACAUUAUAUAUUUUUCACUUUCUCACAGAUGUUCAUCUUUAGUGCACGAAGCAGCUUCAUCUUCCCCGUCUUCUUCCUCUCAACUCCACCACAACAGCUACAAGCCUUCAUCUUCGUUCAAUCGGGUUGUCGUCUCUGUUCAUCCUUGCUAUCGUCUUCGUUCAGUCAGGUUGCCAUCUCCGUUCAGUCAGUUUGUCAUCUUUAUUCAGCUAGGUCACCACCAUCUCUAUUCAGAUAGUCAUCUUAAAUAUAUUUCAAAUUCAGAUGUUACACAUAUUUAUAUGAGUAGUGAAUAAUUGAUUAUGAACUAUAAAUAAUCAAUUGUUGUAAAUUAUUUUGUUGAAACUAAACUUUUCCUAAUUAGUUGAUUAUUUGAGGCAACGAUUGAUUAUGUUAUAUGCUUCUUUCAAGAAAAACAUCACAUUCUCUAAUUAUCUAUUAUGUUUAAUUAUGUUGAUUCAAAAUUGUUAAUAGGUUACAUGAAAAACAUAUAUAUUAACAUAAUAUGAUUAAGUAUAACAGAUUAUAUUAAUUAGUAACCUCAACACUCUUUUAAAAGAAAAAUUCUCUCUCGUUUAUUUUAUGAAUGAGAUAUUAAAAAACUAUUCUAGAUUUACGAAGGGAAAGUGAUUAUACUAUUGAUUUUUGUUUUAAUUUUUUUUAACUUUUCCUAAUUAAAAAAUAAUAAUUGUUUAUAUCUUAUGACAAUAAUAUUAUAUAUUAAUAUUAAUAUCACGUGUAAUUUAAUUCUAUUUUUUAAAUAAUUUUGAUCAUUUAUAAAUUGAGAUUAAAUUUAAUUUUUAUAUAAAUAUUAUAUUGAUAUUUAUAUUAAAAUUACAUCAAUUUUUAAAAAUAUUGAAAUUUAAUUGAGACAAAAAUAUUAAAGACUAAUUUGAAAUAUCUUUGACGAAAAUUAAAAUAAAAAUAUAUUUAAACCUGAAAAAAAUAUACAUUAAUUAUUAGAUAAAUAGAUGAUUUAGUACAAUAAAGAUUAAAUAAUUUUUUUUCGAUUAAAUAAAAAUGAAACAUGCUAUUCUUGUUAUAUUAAACUAAUUAUUUAUUAGUGGUUAAUUAUUUUACAAUUAGAACGUUUUUGAAGAAUUUGUUUUGAAGUCAAAAUUUAUUACAUAACUGCAUAUACAUUCAUUUGAUAUUAAAAAAAUGCAUUAAUAACAUAUUAAUGCAUGGAAUUAUGAAAUACAAUUGAUUGAUUUCAUUUCAAAUCAAAUCCUUAGAAGAAUGAUUCGUAAAUAAUCUAUGUGUAACCUCCAAAAUAGAAAUUGUUUCAAACUAUGAAAUAAUAUGUAACAGCAACUAAACAAAUACGAUAAUAUAAUAAUUUCACACAGAAAAAUGAAAUAAGAGUCAUUCAAUUAAGAAAUAUAAUUUUUUUAAUAUUCAAUAAACUAUACAAAUUUAUUAAGUACUGAAUUUAGCAUAUAGAAAUUUAGGGGAGACUCUAAACUUCAUGAAAAGAAACUCUAUAAAUAAAUACCUUACUCUAUCCAUGUUUUAAAAAUCACUUUUCUUCUUUCUCUACCAUCUCUCCACCACCAUUCUCUCUUUCUUUUUUGGUUUAAUCAUUUAGAUUGUCCCUAUUUAUGUUGGAUUUUCUCAGUAUUUUAAAACGUCUUAAUUAAGUCCCUAUUUUUGUAAGAUUGAAUCAAUUAAGGGUUUGCCGUUAACUUAACUAAACGAUGUUAAAAUUGACUGGGGUGGCAUGCUGACAGUUUAUACUGUUUUCUCACAAUUUUUAAUUAAAUUGAGUGUGAGUGUCAGCCCUGAGAAAACAGAGGCUCGAGAUUUCUCUCCCUCUCGAAGGGUUAGUCCCUCUUGAACCCACGCACACCACUGCCUCAGUCAACCGGAAUCGCCACCGCAACGGCCCUCCCGGUUUGUCCAAAGAGUCACCGGCGGCCUUCGCCGGCCACAACGUUUUCCCCCUUUCUCCCUCUCGCUCCGAUAACCAUAGAAGCCCCCCAUCUUCGCCGGCAGCCACGAGCCACUCUCGCCUCCAUCCAACUGAUCCAGCCACCGCGACGGAUCCCCCUCUGUCCAAGGCGUCGCCAGCGAACACUGCCGGCCACGACAUUUAACCAUUCCUGGCUCCUCUCUGCACGCAAGGAGGAGGCGCCCUCGCCGUUCAUGAUGUGCCCAGUCGUCGUCGAAAUGAGCCACCACCACAGAAUCACCCUCAAGCCCUAGAAUCCCGUCGCCUAACGUCAUCGCAAACACCACCCAGACCGCCACUCUCAAAUCUUGUCACCUCCACUAGUCAGGGCCGUCAUUUGCCUUCUCAUGGCCUUGGACGAUUUACAGGUUGGAUGAUGGUAUGAUGCGAGAGCUGGUUCAGUGCAGGUAGGAUACAAGCUUGUGCGUGGGGCUAGAAAUUGAUUUUGGUUCUUGGUGAUUGGUUUUAUUUUUGUGGAUUUGUGUAGUGCAGGUCAAGCAAGAUGGUGUGAUGCGUGAGUUACGAUGGAGGUUCUAACGGAGUGAUUCUGGUGAAGAUGGACAUACUGGUUCUGGUUCUGAUGUUUUCUUUUUUCUGCUUUGUUUCUCUAGUGAGGAUAUAGCUUAAAAACAAAGGGGAGGUUUUUGAAGUGGAUUAAAAGCAGAAGGAAUUUUCAUGGCUCAUUGUGCUCAGGAGAAUAGGAUGAAGGAGAGCAAUACAUAAUAGAAAAUGGAAGACUCCUAAUAUGAGAAAAUGGAACAAUGAAAUUUUAUUAAAAGAAAUGUGACAAAACCAAGUCAGCUCACCGUAAACUGACACCUAAGCCAAGUUUGGAUGUCAUGCAUAUUCAAUUUUAAUACCGUUUAUUCAAUUUAACGGCAAAUCCUUAAUUGACUCAAUUUUGCAAAAAUAAGAACUUAAUUGAGACAUUUUAAAAUAUUGGGACCUAAUUGAGAAAACUUAACAUAAAUAAGGACAUUCUAAAUGAUUAAACCUUCUUUUUUAAGAUCUUUCUUUUUCCACCAUCUAUUUAAAACAUUGUUAAAUAAUGUUUUUACCUCUUUGUGAAAUGAGACUAUCGACUCAUUCUAGUGAUAUUAUAAUAUUAUUUUAAAUUAAAAUAUCAACUUGUUGUGAAUGUCUCUCUUUCACAAUUAAGAAAGAAACAUUAAAAUAAUUUACCCACUUGUUGUGAAUGUCUCUCUUUCACAAAUGAACCUUUGUUGCUAUGUCCAUUCAUAACAUAUCCUUCCACAACUUCCACAUUUGUUGCUGCCACAUGUUUCUAUUCCGAGCUCUGCAUACCUACCAUUUAUUAUCUUAUGAUUUUUGAAGUAGAAACACGUGCUGCUAUAGCACCAUCUUUGGUUCUAUAUAAAGAACCAAAAAGCAGUACUCCAAAACAUCUCCAACAACACCUUCCAAAUCGAUCAACCAUGAAGCCAACCGUAGUUCUUGCUCUCUCUUUCCUCCUUCCCCUCCUUGCUUUCUUCACCAACAUUCCCUUAGCUUUCUCAGAUGAUGUUGAACAAGUUGUGGACAUAUAUGGGAACCCCAUUUACCCAGGUUUUUCAUACUACAUCAUCCCAGCACUCCGUGGUCCAGGUGGUGGUGGAUUGAAACUUGCCCAAACUGGAAACUCAGAGUGCUCUCUUACUAUCCUGCAAGAUUACUCUGAAGUCUUCCGUGGCCUUCCUGUGCAAUUCACCAUUCCCGGAAUCAGUCCUGGAAUCAUCUUCACAGGUACUAAUUAAAACUUAAUUGUCAUGAAUUGAAUUGUUAGAAGUUUCAAGUGGAUUAAAAGUAAAACCAAUUUAUAAUAUAUAAUAUAACGCUGAUUUUGUGAGAUUGAGUCAAGUUUAAAGUUCACUCCUUAAUAUGGUAUCAUAGUAAUGAUUAGAGUCUAUCUUAAGAUAUUUGUUGUUUAUUGAACAUUUUGUUCGACCUGUUAUCGGAUCAUUAUUCGACCACUUAUUAAUAUCUAGUCUCACGCUUUGUUUAUACGUUGGACGUAAAGAGUGUGUUGAGAGUGUGACAUCAAUUAAUGAUAAGAUAAAAUUAAUUUGUAAUAUAUAAAUGAAUGUGGACCUCGUCUUAUUAGAGACCGGUUUUAUAAUAUUGAAAUAGGUUUGAAAUUGACUUAUAAAAUUUCGUAUAAAUUAUCUUCUGUUACUAAUUUCAAGUUUUGGAAACAUCCCUAUAGGUACCGAACUGGAGAUCGAGUUCGUAGAGAAGCCAUGGUGUGCAAAAUCCUCCAAGUGGUCGUUGUUCAUAGAUGUAUCAAUCGGGAAGGCAUGUUUGGGAAUUGGUGGUGCCGAAGGCCAUCCAGGGCAAUCAACUUAUGAUGGCAAAUUUCACAUUAAGAAAUACAUAUUUGGGUACAAGCUUGUGUUCUGCCUCGAUGCCACAAAAGCUUGCUUGGAUAUUGGGAGAUUUGAUGCCAAGAACGGCGAGGAAGGAAGACGCUUGAAUACGACUCAGGAUGAAGCAUUCGAUAUUGUGUUCGUACCAGCUUUUAAAGCUGAUAAGGUUAUUAAGUCUGUAGCUUGAGUCAAAUAUCUCUAGUUAAUCAGAUUUUAGUUAAUGCAUAUGUUGUUGUUUUGAAAGUGCUGUGCCCUUACUGUUUGAUUAUUUAUACAUUGGUCAUAUAUAUAUAUAUAUAUAUAUAUAUAUAUAUAUAUAUAUAUUAUUUUACAUUGUUACUUAAUGGAAAGUGACUCUCAAAUUUAAACUAUUACGUUAUAAAAAUUAAGGAAAAUGAUAUUUUUACACCAAUUUUUGACACUAUUUUGACACUGCACACGUGUCAAAACAUGGUUGGACGAUAUUAAAUUAAAAAAACUGAAACAAGGACAUAUUUGGAAGAAAAAAACCAAACUUUUUUUUUUAAUUUGAAAUCAUCCAACCACGUUUUGACACGUGUACAGUAUCAAAAUGGUGUCAAAAAAUUGGUGUCAAAAUAUCAUUUUUCAAAAAUUAAAUCAAAAUGUGAAAGAAUGUGUGAGUUCUAUUUUAAUUGAAAAUAUGUAUAUGUCAGAAUUUCUCUUCAAGAACUUUUAGGAAGAAAAAAAAAAUGAAAUUAGUAUCUCAAUAAAUUAAAAAUAAUUUAUUAAUAAAUUAAUCUAUUGACAUUAUUUUACGUAGCUUCUUAAGAGUUAUUUUUAACUUACGUAUGAUGCCAUUUUAGUUUAUGAAAAACUUUAUGUAUUUUUAUUUUUUUUAUCUUAAAAGUUGUUAAGGAGAAACUCGUAUUACUAUAAAGACUCCUAUUACAUAUUUAGACAGAAUAUACGAUUUAAUGUGCGAAAGUUUUAGUGGAAUAAACAGUCAAUUAACAUAACAUGGUAGGGAUUAUCAACCGAAUACAUUUCCUACUCACGGUUAUACCUACAAACAUCAAAGCAUUUUUUUUUAAUCAACAAAGAAUAAAUAUAAUUAUAUUGGAUCACUUGGUUGCUCUAUCCCAUUUACAUAAUAUAUGUUAGUAUUUUAAUCUGAAUAUCUCCCAACUGUAAUAACUGUCCUCUGACAGUUAUUCUCAUUCUUUAGUUUUACUCUUUAAAUACUUCUUUUGUACUCUCUAUUUCAAUUUUCUUCAAUAAGAAUAACUCUCAUUUUCUUCAAACUCUCUUACACUCUGUAUUCUCUCCUCUGCAUAAUUGCUUCUCUGCAUAAUUCUUCCAAACUGUAACAUUGGUAUCAGGAGCUAGGAAAUUCGGUGAAGACAGCUCAAGUCAUUUCAAGAAGAAAAGUGUUCGUGAGUAAUGGCUGGAAUGAUGCACAGCAACCUACCUGUUUUCGAUGGCAAAGGAUUCGAUGAUUGGUGUAUUAAGAUGGACGCGAUCCUCGGCUUUCAAGAGGUAGAUGAAAUUGUAAGAAAAGGUUUUAAAGAACCUGUCAAGGAUGAUUCAGAAGCAGCCAAGAAGCUAUACAAGGAAAACAAGAAGUUGGAUUGCAAAGCAAGAAUGUUGUUGCAUCAGUGCAUAUCGGCAACAAUUUUUCAGAAAGUCUCAAAGGCUACUACGGCGAAGGAGAUUUGGGAUAUCUUGCAAGAUGGUUAUGGCAAUUCUGGAAAGGUCAAGAAGACAAGAUUACAGUCAUUGCAGAGACAGUAUGAACUUCUCGCCAUGAAGGAGCAAGAAACAGUGGUCGAAUACAUUGGUAGACUUCAAUUGAUUGUGAAUGCAAUGAGAGCGUGUGAUAAGAUUGUCAAAGACAAGAAAAUUGUAGAGAAAAUACUCAGAACCCUAACCCCUCAAUUUGAUCAUAUAGCUUUGACCAUAGAAGAAACUAAAGAUCUCGAGAAGUUGAAGGUGGAGGAAUUGCAGAAUUCUUUAGAAGCGCAUGAGCAAAGAUUAAUCGAAAGGAGAAAUGUUGAAAAAGGCGAAAAUCAAGGCGUGAGUCAAGCAUUACAAGCCAGAAAUGAUUACAAACCCAGAGGCCGUGGGAGAGGCAGAGGUCGAUCAAGAGGAGGACGCAAUGGUGGUAGAGGCAUGAAACCAUCAGAUCAAAGUAAUGAAGAUAAUGGAGGUGAACAAAAGAAUGGAAGUGGUCGAGGAGGUCGACACUCGAGAGGCAGAGGCAGAAAGGGUUAUGACAAAAGGAGUAUCCAGUGCUUCACUUGCAGCAAAUACGGCCAUUAUUCCACGGAGUGUUGGCAUAAUGAAGAUUCGAAGGGAACCAAGAAUGGAGGGUCAGCCAAUCUUGCACAAGAAACUGAAGAAUCAGAGUCUGAUCAUAUUGUGUUAAUGAGCACAAUUGAAAGAUUCGAAAAAGGGCAAUGUAAGAAAUUGACGUUGAACGGGAUUAAGCAAGAAAUGAUUCUGGUGGACAGAUGCAACGAAGCACAUGUGUCAAUCUCAGAAGAAAGUGGAGAACACGUGUCGUCAUCGUUCGAAAGAAGACAUGCAGCAAAAGACGUAGCACCCGCACAUACGUUGUCGUUCGAAAUGAGACAUGAAGCGAAAGAUGUAGCUCCCACACAUGCGUUGCUCUCAAACGGUGUAAAUCAAGCGGCGAAUGAUGAUUCAUGUAGCUGGUAUUUGGACACGGGUUGUUCGAACCAUAUGACAGGGAGACGAGAAUGGUUAGUAAACCUCGAUCCAAGUAUAAAGAGCCGUGUGCGAUUUGCGGACAACAGCACGAUCAUGGCGGAAGGAGUUGGCAGAGUCUUGAUCACUUGCAAGAACGGUAAGAUCGCUUACAUGGAUGACGUCUUGUAUGUUCCUUCAAUGAAGAGCAACUUGUUGAGUUUAGGGCAACUCCUGGAGAAAGGGUACACCAUGUCUAUGCAUCAGCGACAUAUAGAAAUAUUUGACAGCAAACAACGUCCUGUGAUUAAAGCACCACUUGCCCGUAACAGGACUUUCAAAGUGAAUUUGAACGCUGCAGCUAUACAGUGUUUGUCUGUCUCAAACCACGAAGAAGAAGGAUGGCUAUGGCACUACAGAUACGGGCAUCUAAAUUUCAAAGGCCUGAGUCAAUUGAAAGGCAAGGAUUUGGUGAAAGGUGUGCCUUCAAUAUUUGUUCCAGACAGAAUCUGUGAGGGUUGUGCUAUAGGCAAGCAAUCUAGAAGGAGAUUUCAACAAUUGGCACCCAAAAGAGCGAAACAGCCUCUGGAUGUUGUCCACUCAGACGUUUGCGGCCCCUUCGAUGUUCCAUCAGUUGGAGGUAACAAAUAUUUCUUGUUAUUUGUAGACGAAUGGACGAGAAAAAUGUGGAUAUAUUUGUUGAAAGCAAAGAAAGAGGUAUAUUCAUAUUUUGUGAAAUUUUGCUCUUUGGUGGAGAGACAAUCUGGCUCGCAGGUUAGGGUGUUCAGAACCGAUGGAGGAGGAGAGUUCAACUCCUCUGAGAUGGACAAGUUUUGCACUGAAAAAGGCAUUGUGCAUGAAGUAACGGCUCCCUACACACCACAGCAUAACGGCCUAGCUGAAAGAAGGAACAGGACGAUAGUUGAUAUGACGAGAUGUAUGAUUAAAGCCAAGCAAUUGCCGCAUUGUUUGUGGGGAGAAGCAACAUCUACUGCUGUCUAUCUUCUGAAUAGAAGUCCUACGAAGGCCUUGCCUACAUGUACCCCUGAAGAAGCCUGGUCUGGAAUUAAACCAACUGCAUAUCAUUUGAGAGUUUUCGGGUCUGUGUGCUAUAGACACAUCCCAGAUGAACGAAGGAAGAAACUGGAUGAUAAGAGUGAGAUUCUCAUCUUUGUUGGCUAUCAUCCUACAGGUGCUUACAGACUGUAUGACCCAGUAAAGAAGCAGGUUGUCAUCAGUCGAGAUGUGGUGGUGGAUGAAACAACAACAUUUGACUGGGAGAAGGCUGAAGAAAAAUCUGAAGGAGGUUGUAUUCCAAGUUGGCUUGAGGAUAAGAGUUCCUUCAAUGAUGAGCAAACAGACGCAGACCGUGAAAUUAACAAUAGAAGAUCACAAAGGACAAGGUUUCCAUCCACCAGACUUACAGACCAUGAAGUCUUUCCUGACAAUGAAGUUACUAGCUCAGGUGAUCUUGUACAUUUUGCGUUUUUGGCCGACACAGAACCACUGACCUGGAAGCAAGCUAUUGAUGUAAAGGAGUGGAGAGAAGCCAUGUUGGAGGAACUUAAGGCAAUAGAGAAAAACAGAACCUGGGAGAUGGUGGAAUUACCUCAGCAUAAACAGCCCAUUGACGUUAAAUGGGUGUUUAAAAUCAAGCACAAACCAGAUGGUGAAGUAGCAAAGUUCAAAGCCAGAUUGGUGGCAAGAGGUUUCUUACAAAAGCCUGGAGAGGAUUUCACUGAUGUGUUUGCUCCUGUUGCACGACUUGAAACAGUGAGGUUGUUGAUUGCUGUGGCCAAUAUUAAAGCUUGGAGAAUUUGUCAAAUGGAUGUUAAAUCCGCUUUUCUGAACGGUUUUUUGGAGGAAGAGGUUUAUGUGAGACAACCUCCAGGUUUUGUGAAGAAAGGAGAAGAAGGAAAAGUGUAUAGAUUGAACAAAGCUUUAUAUGGUCUCAGGCAGGCACCUCGUGCUUGGAAUAACCAUAUCAACGCAGUUCUGCUCAAACUGGGAUUCAAGAGGUGCUCCGUAGAAUCUGGAGUCUAUGUGAAAUCUGGUGAAAGGCAAGGUAUGUUGUUGAUAUGCCUAUAUGUGGAUGAUCUUCUUAUAACAGGAGACUCAAUAGAUGAAAUUGAAGAAUUUAAGAAGAAGAUGAAGGAGGAAUUUGAGAUGACAGAUCUCGGUGGUUUAAGCUACUUCCUGGGUUUGGAAUGUGUGCAGACAAGCGGUGGAAUGUUUCUUAGUCAAAGGAGAUAUAUUAGCAAUGUGUUGAGAAGAUUUAAGAUGGAAAACUGCAACAGUGCAGCAGUACCAAUAAUGACAAAUUUGAAGUUGAUAGACAAUCCAGAUGAGAAGAAGGUGGACGCCACUUUAUAUAAACAAAUGGUAGGAUCCUUGCGUUAUAUUUGUAAUAGCAGACCCGAUAUCUGCUAUGGAGUUGGGCUGGUGAGCAGAUUUAUGCAGGAGCCUAGACAAUCACAUCUUGCUGCUACCAAACACAUAUUGCGAUAUUUGAAGGGAACUUCAAAUUUUGGUCUGUUCUUCCCCAAAAACCCGAACAACAUGAGAGGAGUUUUGGAGGCUUGGUGUGAUGCUGACUGGUGUGGUGACAAAGUUGAUAGGAAAAGUACUUUUGGGUACUUGUUCAGAUAUAUGGGAGCGACUGUUUCGUGGUGCUCCAAGAAGCAGAGCGUGGUCGCAUUAUCCUCUUGCGAGGCUGAAUAUAUCGCAGCUGCUGAGACUGCGUGUCAGUGUGUGUGGAUGGAAACUAUGUUUGAUGAACUAAGGAUUGAGUACGGAAAACCGGUGCAGCUCUCAGUGGAUAAUAAAUCAGCAAUAUGUUUGUCCAAAAAUCCAGUUUUUCACGGUAGGAGCAAACACAUUGAAACCAAAUUUCAUUUCCUAAGAGAUCAAGUCAGCAAAGGUAGAUUGGAGCUGGUUCAUUGCAGCACUGAUGAUCAAAUUGCAGAUGUGUUCACCAAAGCUUUGAAGCAAGUCAAAUUUGAGAAACUUAGAGAAUUGCUUGGUGUUAAAACUUUUGUAAAUUCAGAUUAAGGAGGGCGUGUUAGUAUUUUAAUCUGAAUAUCUCCCAACUGUAAUAACUGUCCUCUGACAGUUAUUCUCAUUCUUUAGUUUUACUCUUUAAAUACUUCUUUUGUACUCUCUAUUUCAAUUUUCUUCAAUAAGAAUAACUCUCAUUUUCUUCAAACUCUCUUACACUCUGUAUUCUCUCCUCUGCAUAAUUGCUUCUCUGCAUAAUUCUUCCAAACUGUAACAUAUAUACAAAUUAUUUUUUUCUACAUUAGUCAUAACGUUGAUUUGAAAAUUUUUCUAAUAUAAAAAAAUCUUUUUAUACUAGUUAAAAGAGGUUUUCUAUACCAAUUGUAAAAUCGAUAUAUAGAAACAAACAAUAAAAAAGUUUUAACUUUUCUAUAACGAAUUCAUAAUUGGUAUAGGAAGUUUCUUUUUUUCAUAAUGGUUAAUACCACAAUCGGUAUAAUAACCUAAUGCUUUCUUUUUCUUUUGUUCGCCUAUGAACAUAACAUUCUUAAACACAUCAACCAUGAAUCUAGAGCAAAACCAAGAACUAAAAAAUAAUUAUUCACUAAUUGAAUGCCCCACAAUUGCAUCUGUUGUCAUCGUUGACGUCUGACACUUCUUUAGAGCCUUUGAACAUAACAUCACUUCUUCUCUUGAGCAUUCUUUUCAAACAAAAACAACCAAGGUGCAAUAACUUCAAAGAACCUCUAAGUCAUCGCUCUAUACUUAUACUUGUGGUCGUCGACGGUUUCGCUAACACAACCUUUUUCUCCCUCUUAAGGGUUUCUCCAUAUCUCCCAAGUGUUUAUCUCCUCAUGCUUUGUUGCCAAUAUGUUGUGACGGCUUACAACUAGAGGUGUAGCACUACCUCGUCACCAUCGUCUAAGUCGUUGUUGGUGCUGGCGCAACCUCUCUACUCCUUCCACUUCAUAUGAGUGUCUUCCUUCUUGCUCACCAAAAUUAAAAUCCUCUCCAUUAUACUGAGAGUGACACCACUUAAUCUUGUUGUUGAUCGUCGCUAAACCAAUAUUCAGAUAUGUUUUUGGCACAUUGUUCUUUACAAUUAAUAAACAUGAGGAUCCUUUAGAAAUCUUCCUUUGAGAAUUUUGAUAUAACGUUGAGAUUCCCAAAGUCUUGUUGACUUUUUUGUUGUGUUACAUUUGUGUUGUUUAUGGGUGCUAGCUAAGAUAAAUGAAAGCGUUAGAGAAGAAUGGUUGGAUGGAAUUUAUUAUAUGAAAACUAUGAGUAUGGAGUUGAAGAUCACAAAUAAUAAUCGAGAGUUCAGAGAUAUGACAAAAUUUUUUGAAAUUAUCGACGGAAAUAAAUUUGUCUAUAAAUUUGAAUUAUCGAAGGAUUUUGCUGACAAAUUUUUAAUUCCGUCAGUAAUGCAUAUUUCAUUUACCGACAAAAUUUUUCGUCGAAAAAUCCGUCGAUAAUACAUAAUAAAUUUAUCGGUGAAAAAAUUUAUCAUUAAUACAUAUUAAAUUUAACAAUGGAAAGGUUUGUCGGUAAAUCCAUAGGAAAUACAUAUUAAAUUUAUCGAUGGAAAAAUAUGUCGGUAAAUCUGUUGGUAAUACAUAUUUAAUUUACCGACGGAAAGUCCUUCGAUAAAUCCUUUGAUAAAUACGUCGAUAAAAAGAACGACAAAUUUCCCACCCAUUCUUUGUCUCUUUUCGCGAACUGCACAUUACUUUUCUCACCACUUUUCUUUUAUUUUCAAAACCCUCUUCAUCUUCUUUUCUCUCCGUGAGGCAGCCCCUCAUCUCUCCUAUUUUUUCCAUCUAAGCUUAGAUUACCGCAACUCUAGGCCCAUUUGAUGCGCCUCCAUCUUUGUUUAGCCAAACCGCCAUCUACGUCGCCAUCUAUGUCGUCAAGCUUGGGAUCUUUCGCUUCGCUUCAUCUUCUUCUUCUUUAACACAUGUAAGGGAGAGAUCAUGGUUCAGUUCUUCCUUUUUCAUGCAAGGGCACAUCCAAGCUAGGUGCACUAUUGUCGUGCCACGCACUAGCACCACUAUGCAUCAUCGUUGGACCAUGAUGGAUUUGAAGCCAACAAAAUCCUUUUAUUCUCUUUUCUCUCUUUUUUAUUUGUAUUUGUGGUGAAAUAAUUUGAUAGGUUGGCUAUAAUUUUGUGUAGGUUAUGAAAUUGUUGUAAUAAUAGUUGGGUGAUAAUAAAAUUGUGUAACAAACCAAAGUGGAAUAGUGAAUAAAAGCAUAACGAUGAAAUUUUGUGCAUAAAAUUGUAUCAAUUUGUGUAACAUUCGAUUAUAAUGUGUCCAUUUUUGUUGAUUGAAAAAAAAAUAAGGGAAAGAAGAAAGGAAGAGGGGAAGAAGUUGAACCAGAUCUUAGUAGUUUGCAACCAAUUCAUUUUUUGUAUCUGUUAGGUCCAACCAAUAUAUGAAGUGUUCUACUUAUUUACCAAAUUGUCACCACAUUAGAUGGAGAACUAACCCAUGACUCCAUAUAAGAAGAACUUGAGGAGGAGCCUUUUGCAUGAAGGUAUGAAGGUCAUAGCUUGGAGCACAAUCUUGGUAAUACCUACACUUGUGGUGCAUCAGGUUUUUUCUUUUUGUUUAUUCAUUGUGUAUUAGUGUUGCCUUUGUUGUUUAGGCAAGGCUUCCAAAGGGAGUGUGUGUAGACUCUUAUUUAAGAAUGUGUUUUGUUGUGAUUGAGAGAGUGAGAGUAUAUUGAGUGAGUCUUGUAUUCUAUAAAUCUUGACAUUUGAUUUUAGUGGACUUCAACUCGAGUUGUUGAAAAAAAGAUUGAAUGUAAAUUCUUGAAGAGUUGAACCGAUAUAAAUCUUGUGUUGUUUUCUUUCACUAAUCUUGUUAAAUCUUUGGAAUGUUAAAAGAUUCAUUGAAAACAACCUUAUACACCAAUUUUUUUUAAAGAAAGUUAAAAGGAAUUUUCAAACAAAUUCACUACCUCUUGUUUUGUAAUAUAUUUUUUCGUAGAACAGGAUAACCAAGCAUUAUCACCAUCAUACAACACCGACGUUGGUAAAAUUAAAAGAAAAAAGGAGAAGAGAAAAAAAAUGAACUAGAUUGCGAUAUUUACCGACAACUUUAUCUGUCGAUGUUUACCGAUAAAUUUUUCUUUUAAUAAUUUUAGACAAUUUUUUUUUCCAAUGAUUACUGACAUAUUAAUAAAAUCCUUUGAUAAAAUUUACUAACAACAAUUUUACCAACGAAUUUUUUGUUAUCAAUAAACUUUCAAUAAUUUUAAUUUACUGAUAAAUUUUGUACAUUAUCAACAAAUUUUAAUUGUUAAUAAUAUCGAUUUUUAUCUAUAAUAAAUGCUCUAAUCUUUUACCUGUAUAUCAUCUGUCGCAAUCGGAAAAUCGCGACGGGACGACGAUCCAAAAAGAAAAUAAUUUGAAAAAUGUUUUGGAGUCGCUACUAUAGUUUAUUAUGGAAAACUACGGAAAAACCGUAAAAUGAUAAGGCAAGGUCUACAAAACCAAAUUCUGGUUUCGGAAGUCGGUUACGUGUGGGGAAGGUGUUAGCACCCCCACAGCGCCUGCCCUAAGGCAGUACCUUUAACUAAAUACGUGAAUUUGAUGUGGUUUGCAAAAUGUUUAAUUUCCCCUAAAAAAUAAGACUCUAAAGAAAACAAAAUAUUUUUUGUGUUUUUUGUGUCUGACAAGGAUUGACCUUGCUCCUAUGUAUUCUCAGUUGAACUGAGAAAUCAGGGUUACGUAGUUCUUUAAUUAUGUUCAGAUGAUUGUUUGAAAACAUGAUGUUUUAUAUUUUUUGUUAAUUUUUUGAGAGGAGAAGAAAAAGGUUUUUAACACAAGGCUGAUGCAAAUGGUCGCACGUGUGCUUAAACCUUUUAAAAUAAUAUUUUUUUAUAUUUUUAAAUAGAAGAAGAAAAAGGUUUUUAACACGAACGGUCGCACGUGUGCUUACACCUUUUAAAAUAAUUUUUGUAUUUUUAAAUAGAAGAAGAAAAAAAGGUUUUUAACACAAGGCUGACGCGAAUGGUCGCACGUGUGCUUACACCUUUUAAAAUAACUUUUUUUUUUUAAAAGAAGGAGAAAAAGGUUUUCAACACAAGGCUGAUGCGAAUGGUCGCACAUGUGCUUAAACCUUUUUAAAAUAAUAAUUUUUAUUUUUAAAAGAAGAAGAAAAAAAAAGGAUUUUUAACACAAGGCUGACGCGAAUGGUCGCACGUGUGCUUAAACCUUUUCAAAAUAUUUUUGAUUGAUAGUUUUUAUGAUUUUUAUAUUUUUUUUAUUUUUAACAAACAAACAAUGAUAAAACAAAUUCUAAAGCUAAAGAAAUAAAAGCGAAGGCAAUAAUAAAAAAAACAAUAUAGUCCAAUAAGUCCAAUAAAAAAAGGGAGGGCAGAAGACAAAACCAGGGGUGCAACAUGAAACUUAUUGGCCCAUGACCAGAGGUAGGGGUGCAGCAGAUGAAAAUUGGUGGUGCGUUUGGUAGGUGCUGGCCCAAGCCCUUUUUCGUUUUUGUUGAAGCACGGUGGAGGUGUGAAUGGAAUUGAACAUGGUGGCCAGUAGAUAGAAAGUUGUCCAAUAGGCCUAAGGCCCUUUGCCCCAAAUCAGAACAAUAGGGGUUCUACCAAUUUCCUCUCAUUUGUGCAAGCACCAUCAUGACCCAGGGCCAUUUUCUUCUCUGAACGAAGGAAACAGAGACGCACCUCUACUCAACCGACCACCACAAGCUUCCAUCCAAGUCUUCACCGACAACGCCGCUUGCCACUGGGGCCAUCGCCGGCCACCGUGAGGGUUCUCCCCUUUCUUUCUCUCGCACGAGAGAUCUUCUUGUUCGUGAGUGACGUAGGCUGUUCGUCAUGCAAGUUGCCGUUGCCACCGAGCCAGGGUCGUCGUUCCCCGUCGAGCCUUCCUUCUUCCAUCAUCGCGCCACUGCCAAGGUCAUCGUCGCAACUGCAUCAAACGAAAUUCACGAGACCAUUCACGCCAACUCCUCCCUCCAUGGGUGUACCUUCGUCCAAUCAUUCCACUUCAAGUCAUCGACCUACGGCACCACUUGCCAUUGAUCUAGGUUCGCCGCAACUUUCUCCAAUUAGGCUUACCUUUGCUGCGUCUCCGAGAGCCACCACGAGUCUUCUUGUGCAACUUGCUUCAGAUUUGCCUAAAAAGUCAUCAGAACAUCUGUGUUGAUAUUGUUGCCACCCUUCGUGUAAACUUAGAACUUGCCUCUGAUAUCUGUUUUUUACUUUGAGUGUUGAGAUGAGUUCGUGUGAUGGUGAUGGAGGUAGUGAAUGAGUUUCUCUAUUUUUGUGUUUGGUGUUUCUGUGAUGGAGGGGGGUCGUGAGUGAUUGGCCCUUCUUUGUGUUUUUUAGGUGUCAGACCGAAUGGAAGGGAGGGGAUGGUGAUUCUGUUGAGUUGAUGAGGUUGGAGAUAAUGGUGGAUGCUCUGGUUUUGAGUGUAUCGAAGGUGAUGGAAUGGAAGAACGACGAGAGAGAUGAUUCUGUUGGAGGAAAAUGGGUUCCCUCCUUGAGGUUUGUGUUUUUGGCCGAAGGGAAAAAGAAAAAUGGGUAAGUGAUUGGUGUGUCAGGAAGGAAAUUCCUCCGGAGGUGUGCGUGUUGAGUGAUGGAGAGGAGUGUGUGAGGUUAAUCUAUUGGAUGAACGUCUGAUGGUCUAUUGCUUGAAUGGGGGAAUUAGAGAAGAAGGUGUCAAUAAUGGAUGUUGUUGGAGAUGAAGGGAGGAUGCUUUAUGUGUUGCGUGAUGAGGUGUGGUGUGCGUGAGGAUGGUGUGCCUCUUCCUGAAGGCCUCCCUCUUUGCCAGUAUAUCCUCUGCCAAUCCACACCGUGUCUGCCAACCCAAUCGUGCCUGCAAAAAUCGUUUCUUGCUCCCUUGCUGUCCAACCCCGUACACACUGCUCCUAUCCCAGCUAAAACCUCUCUUUUCUUUUACUUUUUUUUUACUAAAAGACAAAAAACUACACUUUUUUUCUUUUUUUUUCUUUUUUUUUCUUUCAUGUUUUUUCUUUUUUUUUUUCGUUUUCCUUUUCUUUUCUUUUGGUUCUUUCGUUUUGUUUUUUGUUUUUUCUUUCUUUCCUUUUUUUUCAUUUCUUUUCUUACUUAUUUUUUUUAUAUAUUUUGUUUUUCAAAUAGAAAAUAAAAUCAAAUGAUAGCUAAAUCAAAUAUCAAAAAACUAAAAACUAAAAUAAAAUAAGACACAUAAAAAAAUAAGUCCUACUAUUUAGUCACCCAGACGAAAUUGUGGUUGAUAUGAUUAUACUUUUCUCUUCAUGUAACAAGAAGAAACUAUCACUGUCACAUGUUUCCUGAAGUUUAUUUUUUAUGGAGUAAAUUAGUUUUGGCAAUUUGAUGCGUUAUGUACACUACUUUGAUUCUUCAAUUAAAGAAGUUUGUCAGUCAUAAUUGUACUACUACAUGAACUCAAUAUCCUACUUAUCCUACCUAACAAUUCAAUUGUUUUCUCCAUAAUAGUGUAAUAUAUAUUAGUAUUUUAAAUAAAAAAAACAAUAGUAUAUAAUUAAUAUAUUAAUUUAUUAAGUUAUUAAGCAAAUGUUUUUAUUUUUUACUGGUGUCAAAAUAACAUGUCUUUUUUUUUAAAAAAAUAAAAACUUUCAAACCCUCAGCAUUCAGACUCUUUCUAGUUUUAAGUUUAAAAAUAAAAAACAUGAUAAAGUAUUAUUUUUUUUAUGAGUUAAGUGGAUGUUUUUGUCUCUUUGUCAUGUCAAAAUAUCAGUUUUUUUAAAGAUUUGACACGCCUUAGAAUAAAUACAUUCAGAUCAAAACAUGCUAUAAUACGUUAGGGUGGACAAAUUGAACUGAACUGUACUGCACUGCUAAAAUCUGAACUGAACUCUAAAACAGUUCAGACAAACUGAACUGAACUGUAAAACAGUUCAGAAAAACUGAACUGAAUUGUUUUUCGUUUUAUUAAACUGAAUUGAAUUGUACUGUACUAAAUUACAGUAUGAACUAAACUGAACUAUUAAUUGAAUUGUAAACUACACUAACUGAACUAUUAACUGAAUUAUAAACUGCACUAAUUGAACUGAACUAUUUAUUAACUAAAUUGUAAACUAAUUUUAACUAAAGUAUAAUAUAAACUGAACUACUAACUAUACUAAUUUUAAACUAAAUUGUACUAAUUUUUAAACUAAAUAUUAUAACAAUACAUAUUGAAAUUUAUUUUAAUAUUUAUUUUAUUUUAUUCAUAAGUAUCUAAUAAAAUGAUUUUUAAUUAUUUAAUAUUAUUAUUUUCUAUUUUAUUUAUAUUUCUUUUAUUAUUAAAAAUUAUUUUAUUUUUUAUUUAUUUACUUAUAUAUAUAUAUAUAUAUAUAAAUGUAUAUAUAUAACUUAAAAAAUAUAAAAAUAUAAAUUAUGUUUUUUAUUUUUAUUGAUAAAAAAUGGAAAUUUUGUGAUAAAAAAAUUGUCUUAAAAAAUUAAUUAUUAUUUUUUUAUGUGAACAAUUUUAUUUAUUAGUAUUUUAUUAUUAAAUAAAGUUUUCUUGAGUUGUACUGAAACUAGAGAAGAUAUAAGAGUAAAUACAGUUCUCACAGUUAACUGAACUGUAAUGUUAUAAAAAACUGAACCAUAAAACAGUAUACUGAACUGUUAGUAAAAGUGGUUCAGUUAUUUUUAGUAUAAUAUAGUACAGUUAACUACAGUACAGUACAGAUCAGUUAUUUUUGCCCAACCUAAUACAUUGGGUUGAUUUGAUGAUAAUUUUGAUGAUGUAUGCAAUUUUGUUGUUGUUAUUGAUUCGCCUUAUUCGUCUCACUUAUUGUCAAAAAUAUCAUUAUCCUAGUUGAAAAUAGGAAUGCAUGCCAAACGAAUCAUAGUAUGCAAAAGGAAAUGUAUAGGAGAGACUGAACUUUUGAGCUCCCGUAACUUGUAAUUCACGUUGCUAAUAUGAGAGAAGACGUUUGCAUAAAUUUAAAUUAAAAAAGAAUUAUAUUUUUUAAUAUUAAAUAGAAAGAUAAAUAUAUCAUUAUAUAUAUAAUCAUUAUAUAUAUAUAUAUAUAUAUAUAUAUAUAUAUAUAUAUAUAUAUAUAUAUAUAAAUUAUUAACCAAGCAUUCAUAUAAAUACGGGAAACUAAUCACUAAUCACUAAUCACUAUGAUUUAAUAAUGCGCAUACUUUAAAAGAAAACUUUAAUAUCUAAAUUGGAAAAAAUUAAGAUUCAAACAGUAUAAUUGUUAUUUUGUUUUGAGGGAAUAUUUUAGUGAUUAUAUUUAAAUUAUAUUUUUUUCAUUCUUUUGCUUGUUAAUUUAAAAUAAAUAAAUUAAAAUAUAAAUAAUCUUUAUGUGGGCUAUCCUACGAGUCAAAAUGUUACGUGGAAGAAGCCAAGAAAAUUAAUUUGCAUGUCAUUGAUAGCCCUGAUUCACUUUUUAUGCACCAAAUGCAAAGCAGAACAAAACAGGACGCAUUCUCACCCUAUAAUAAAAAGAAAAUAUAUUUUAAUAAUUUUUUAGACAAUGUUUUUGAACGGUUUUUAUGGAAACGAAUCGGUAAAAUAAUAAUAUAUAAUUUGUUGUCAAAAAAUUAUAAAAUAUUAUAAUAAAAAAUAAAUAAAUGUAUGAGUCUUUCUAUAUAUAUAUUAAUCAUUUUAUUUGUAUUUAUUUAAUGUGAGAUUUCAAGGGCUUGAAUUCUUAAGAUAUGACAUACAUGUACUUAUCAUCAUGAUAAAUAAAUGACGUGGCAUUUUAGCAAAAUUAUUAUAAACCGGCGGAAAAACAUUUUGGUAGCUAACCGAAUCUUAUUAAAGCAUCAAAUUCAUAUAUAUUUUUUCUUGAGGAGUUGAUAAUGUUGAGAAUUAGAUAAAUCUAUUUUAAUUAAUUUAUCUUUUUAAAUUUCUGUUAAAUGAUUCUUUAUUUCCUGACUUUUAUUUUUCAAAAUUUCAAAAUAUUAAUUAUUUUAAUAGAUGGACCGAAUUAUUCAAUCGGCUUUUUAUUAUUAUACUUUACCACAACGUUUUAUUGAGAGAAAUAAAAUCUUAACCCUCUUUUAAAAAUAAACAAGGUCGUGCUCCACGGGAAACAUAAAAUAUUCCUCGCCACGAGCUUUAAUGUUAUAUAUAAUUUAUUUACUACUAUUAUUGCUGUGCUUCGUGAAGCUCGUGGAUUUUAACUGUUGUUAAAAUAAGAAAUAAAAUGUUAUCUCUGAUGUCUCUUUUUAUUUUUAUAUUAUAACUUUUCUAAUUAUUAAAAGAAAGGUUGCUAUCUUUUGUGACACGUGUCUCAUUGGAUUGCUAAAACAAAGUCAACUUCUUGCUUUAAUUUGUAUUGUGUCAAAUAACUAUCGAAUAUGUUUGUAUAUUUUAAAAUUACAAAACAAUAUAUAUAUAUAUAUAUAUAUAUAUAUAUAUNNNNNNNNNNNNNNNNNNNNNNNNNNNNNNNNNNNNNNNNNNNNNNNNNNNNNNNNNNNNNNNNNNNNNNNNNNNNNNNNNNNNNNNNNNNNNNNNNNNNNNNNNNNNNNNNNNNNNNNNNNNNNNNNNNNNNNNNNNNNNNNNNNNNNNNNNNNNNNNNNNNNNNNNNNNNNNNNNNNNNNNNNNNNNNNNNNNNNNNNNNNNNNNNNNNNNNNNNNNNNNNNNNNNNNAUAUAUAUAUAUAUAUAUAGAUAAUAAUAUUUAGACAACAUUUUUUUGACAAUAUUUGAACAUUGAUUAUGUUUUAAUAUGUGAUUGGUCAUAAAUUACUUUAUAAUCAAUAAUAAUAAUCACAAACACUAUUAUAAAAUAAUUUACGACCAAUCACGUAAUCAAUGUUAAAAUGUUAUCAAGAAAAUAUUGUCUAAAUAUCAUUAUCAUAUAUAUAUAUAUAUAUUAAUUAGAAAAACCAUAUAAACAAUCAAAUUAAAUAUAUAAGUUCUUCACUUAAAACAAAUAAAAGCAUAAAAAUACAUCAAUAUAUAAAUUCCAAUUUUGUAUAGUUUCUUAGCUUAGCAAUUACAUUAAAAUAACUGAGUCCAACUUCAUCCUUAUCCAUAUAUUGUACUUGCAUAGCAUGACAUCUAAUCUUUUACUUACACUGAGCACGUCGCUAAAGACAUCUAUAUAGUCUCUCCGAAUUUUUUUAAAAUCUUUUUAUUAUAAAUGAAUUUGAAUUAAUUUUAUUCUAAUAGCCUUAAAGAAUAAAAAGUAUAAAAAAAAUUGACAAUAAUUAUCUUCGUAUAAUUAUAGAUCAUAAUUAUACAGUUCUGUUAUGAACUUUACAAAUAUUUAGACUAUAUAUAAAUGAACAAAAUUGAUUAUUAUAUAUCUUUUCUGUUAAAACCAACAUUGAAAAUGAUGAUUUUCAGAAAAUAUUUUUAUUGGUAAGAAAAAAAAAUUGGUUUUCGGAUAAAAAACUCGUUUCAAAAUUCUACGAUAUCAUAUUUCACAACAUUAUGGAUCAAACUACCAAUAAUUGCUUUCUUUUUUUAAAAAUUGCCAAUUCUUUACAUUUCUCCACCUAUAACAUUUCAAAUAUCUUAACACAAAUUAUUAUUUUUCAUUAAAAAUCGAGUUAUUUUAAAAAUAUAUUUCAUUAAUUUAAUAAAUUAACUAUAAUUCAGUUAUUAAAUUUAGAAAAAAAUAUUAAAAUAAUUUACCCACAUGUUGUGAAUGUCUCUCUUUCAUAAAUGAACCUUUGUUUCUAUUCUGAGCUCUUUCUUUCCUUCUUUUUUCCUUUCUCUAUGUUGGAAAUUGAACUCUCCAUAUAUAAUUAAACCAUGUAUUAUCUUAUGAUUUUUGAAGUAGAAACACGUGCUGCUAUAGCACCAUCUUUGGUUCUAUAUAAAGAACCAAAAUGCAGUACACCAAAACAUCUCCAACAACACCUUCCAAAUCGAUCAACCAUGAAGCCAACCCUAGUUCUUGCUCUCUCUUUCCUCCUUCCCCUCCUUGCUUUCUUCACCAACCUUCCCUUAGCUUUCUCAGAUGAUGUUCAACAAGUUGUGGACAUAUAUGGGAACCCCAUUUUCCCAGGUUUCAUAUACUACAUCAUCCCAGCAAUCCGUGGUCCAGCUGGUGGUGGAUUGAAACUUGCCCAAACUGGAAAGUCAGAGUGCCCUCUUACUGUUCUGCAAGAUUACUCAGAAGUCUUCCGUGGCCUCCCUGUGCAAUUCACCAUUCCCGGAAUCAGCCCUGGAAUCAUCUUCACAGGUACUAAUCAAUACUUCAUUGUCAUGAGAAUCGUUAGAAGUCUCAUCUCGACUGAAUGGAUGUAGUGAGCCGAUUUUGCAAGAUUGAAUUAGACUUAAAGUCUAUGGUAUUAUAGUUAUGAUCAGAAUCCAUCCUAACGAUAUUUGUUAUCUGUUGAACAUGUUGUUUCACCUGCUAUUAGGUCAUUAUCCGACUAUAUAUUAAUGUCUAGUCUCACGAUGAUAUGUUUAUACCUCAAUUUAUAGAUUGAAUUGAGCUUAAAUUUGAUUUCCUAACAAAUUUCUUAUAAAUGAUCUUCUGUUAUUAAUUUCAAGUUUUGGAAACUUCCCUAUAGGUACCAAACUGGACAUCGAGUUCGUACAUAAGCCAUUAUGUACAGAAUCCUCCAAGUGGUUGGUGUUCGUGGACGAAUCAAUCCAGAAAGCAUGCGUGGGAAUUGGUGGUGCCGAAGGCCAUCCAGGGCAACAAACUUUUGGUGGCAAAUUUCACAUUGAGAAAUACAAAUUUGGGUACAAGCUUGUUUUCUGCAUCACCGGCUCACCAACUUGCUUGGAUAUUGGGAGAUUUGAUGCAGAGAACGGUGAGGAAGGAAGACGCUUGAAUCUCACUGAGCAUGAAGCAUUCGAUAUUGUGUUCGUACCAGCUUUUGAAGCUGAUAAGGUUAUUAAGUCUGUAGUUUGAAUCAAAUAUCUCUAGUUAAUCAGAUUUUAGUUAAUGCAAUCAUAUGUUGUUUUGAUUUGCAUUACCUAAGAGAAUCUAGUCCAAAGACUGAAUAAGAUAGUUAAUUUCUAAUUUCUUGCCUGAUAUCUUUCUCUCUUUCAUUUCGUUCAAACUUCAAUGAAAGACAUUAAAAAAUUUAGGUUUAAUAUUCUGAAAUGCCCACACAAGCCGACGUGGUUCUGCCAUGCACAACUUUAAAUACUAAACAUCAUAUAUUAUAUAUAAUAAAAUAUUAGUCCUCGUGACCCUCGACCUAUUCGAC